rnacentral:tRNA from 1 species
GGGGAUAUAGCUCAGUGGUAGAGUUCAUGCUUUGCAUGUAUGAGGUUCUGGGUUCAAUCCCUGGUGUCUCCA